rnacentral:rRNA from 1 species
UACAGAGGGGGCAAGCGUUGUUCGGAAUUACUGGGCGUAAAGGGCGCGUAGGCGGCCUGUUAAGUCGAACGUGAAAUCCCCGGGCUCAACCCGGGAACUGCGUCCGAUACUGGCAGGCUUGAAUUCGGGAGAGGGAUGCGGAAUUCCCGGUGUAGCGGUGAAAUGCGCAGAUAUCGGGAGGAACACCAGCGGCGAAGGCGGCACUCUGGGCUGGUACUGACGCUGAGGAGCGAAAGCGUGGGUAGCAAACAGG